CCUACGGGGGGCAGCAGUCGAGAAUUAUUCACAAUGGGGGAAACCCUGAUGGUGCGACGCCGCGUGGGGGAAUGAAGGUCUUCGGAUUGUAAACCCCUGUCAUGUGGGAGCAAAUUAAAAAGAUAGUACCACAAGAGGAAGAGACGGCUAACUCUGUGCCAACAGCCGCGGUAAUACAGAGGUCUCAAGCGUUGUUCGGAUUCACUGGGCGGAAAGCGUGCGUAGGCUGUUUCGUAAGUCGUGUGUGAAAGGCGCGGGCUCAACCCGCGGACGGCACAUGAUACUGCGAGACUAGAGUAAUGGAGGGGGAACCGGAAUUCUCGGUGUAGCAGUGAAAUGCGUAGAUAUCGAGAGGAACACUCGUGGCGAAGGCGGGUUCCUGGACAUUAACUGACGCUGAGGCACGAAGGCCAGGGGAGCGAAAGGGAUUAGAUACCCUUGUAGUC
rnacentral:rRNA from 1 species